rnacentral:misc_RNA from 1 species
GAUGAAGAACGCAGCGAAAUGCGAUAAGUAAUGUGAAUUGCAGAAUUCAGUGAAUCAUCGAAUCUUUGAACGCACCUUGCGCUCCUUGGUAUUCCGAGGAGCAUGCCUGUUUGAGUGUCAUGAAAUUCUCAACCUUUUCAGCUUUCUUUGUUGAUCAGGCUUGGAUGUGGGAGUAUGCGGGCUUCUCAGAAGUCGGCUCUCCUGAAAUGCAUUAGCGGGACCUUUGUUGCCUGGCUUUGGUGUGAUAAUUAUCUACGCCAUUGUAGUCAAGCAGCUUAAAAUGAGGUUUCAGCUUCUAACCGUCUCCCCUGAGACAACUUUUUGACAAUUUGACCUCAAAUCAGGUAGGACUACCCGCUGAACUUAAGCAUAUCAUAAGCGGAGGA